GUCUAUGGCCAUACCACCCUCAACGUGCCCCAUCUUGUCUGAUCUCAGAAGCCAAGCAGGGUCAGGCCUGGUUAGUACUUGGAUGGGAAGAACACUGACACAUGCAUU
rnacentral:rRNA from 1 species